AGCUUGUAGUCGUGGUCCUUAGGAAAAUCCGGGGAUCUUAGAUGAGGAGUGAUAACGAGGAGGCUUGCCUCCGAAGUGAGUGAUACCCUGCUUCCAGGAAAAGCCACUAAGCUUCAGCUGCACACGACCGUACCGCAAACCGACACUGGUGCGCGAGAUGAGUAUUCUAAGGCGCUUGAGAGAACUCUGGAGAAGGAACUCGGCAAAUUGACACCGUAACUUCGGAAGAAGGUGUGCCUUUAGUAGGUGAAGUCGUACAGACGGAGCCCAAUGAGGCCGCAGAGAAUCGGUGGCUGCGACUGUUUAUUAAAAACACAGCACUCUGCAAAGACGAAAGUCGACGUAUAGGGUGUGACGCCUGCCCGGUGCUGGAAGAUUAAAUGAUGGGGUGCAAGCUCUUGAUUGAAGUCCCAGUAAACGGCGGCCGUAACGAUAACGGUCCUAAGGUAGCGAAAUUCCUUGUCGGGUAAGUUCCGACCUGCACGAAUGGCGUAACGAUGGCCACGCUGUCUCCUCCAGAGACUCAGCGAAGUUGAAAUGUUUGUGAUGAUGCAAUCUCCCCGCGGAAAGACGGAAAGACCCCAUGAACCUUUACUGUAGCUUCACAUUGGACUUUGAACAGAUCUGUGUAGGAUAGGUGGGAGGCUUUGAAGCGGUGCCGCUAGGUGUCGUGGAGCCAACCUUGAAAUACCACCCUGGUGUGUUUGGGGUUCUAACCUUGACCCGUUAUCCGGGUUGGGGACAGUGUGUGGUGGGCAGUUUGACUGGGGCGGUCUCCUCCCAAAGUGUAACGGAGGAGUUCGAAGGUACGCUAGGCACGGUCGGAAAUCGUGCUGAUAGUGCAUUGGCAUAAGCGUGCUUGACUGCGAGACGGACAUGUCGAGCAGGUACGAAAGUAGGACAAAGUGAUCCGGUGAUUCUGUAUGGAAGGGCCAUCGCUCAACGGAUAAAAGGUACUCUGGGGAUAACAGGCUGAUACCGCCCAAGAGUUCAUAUCGACGGCGGUGUUUGGCACCUCGAUGUCGGCUCAUCUCAUCCUGGGGCUGUAGCCGGUCCCAAGGGUAUGGCUGUUCGCCAUUUAAAGAGGUACGUGAGCUGGGUUUAAAACGUCGUGAGACAGUUUGGUCCCUAUCUUCCGUGGGCGCUGCAAGAUUGAGAGAGCCUGCUCCUAGUACGAGAGGACCGGAGUGGACGCACCUCUGGUGCAUCGGUUGUCUCGCCAGUGGCAUAGCCGAGUAGCUAAGUGCGGAAGAGAUAACCGCUGAAAGCAUCUAAGCGGGAAACUCGUCUCAAGAUGAGUCUUGCCGGGGCCUUGAGCCCCCUGAAGAGUCGUUCGAGACCAGGACGUUGAUAGGCCGGGUGUGGAAGCGCGGUAACGCGUUAAGCUGACCGGUACUAAUUGCUCGUGAGGCUUGACCCU
rnacentral:rRNA from 1 species